GCACAGUAGCGGGAAAACUUCAUGGAAGUAGAAGCAAGGUGUGUUCCGUGAAAAAGGAAUAGUUAUAUUACGAUUCUUUUUUGGUUAAUUUCUUAAAUACCAGUGAUGGUUUUAGCUCCUGGUUGAUGAGGAACAAGGACCAGAUUAGUCUGAAGGCAGGUUCGAGCCACGUUGGUGCUCCGGAGAAGGGAAAUUGCUGUGUGUUACCAGAACGACAGACGAGAGCUGCUCCCGGUGCCGCGCAGAGGGAACCGGAGCUUGGAGGAAUCGCGGUAGCUUCCCUGCUAUACAGAGACGACUCAUCAGCUCCAGCACCAAGGACGACGCAGGUGAUAUUUAAUAAAGUUUAUUUCGGCGAAUGUACAUCAGGGUGAUCAGCAACUUGGCCAAGAAGUAGAAGAAUUCUGCUAACGUGACGGACACUAAGCGGAGUUUUAAAAGAUCGCUGCUGCACACCCCAUUUUCUGCGCACGCUACCACCUGGCAGGGCAGGCCCGCUAUGUUCUAACUGCAUGCCCGGAUGCCUGAUUUCUCUGGCGGUCAUUUUUGGAAGUAAAUGUACUGAACAGACUUUCGCAUGGGAGUGUUGAUGUUAUCGGACGGAUUAUUACAAUGUGCCAGUGGUAUAAAGUGCUAAAUGAAUAAGGUUCAUUUCUGUUAUGAGGUUGUUGUGCAUGUUUAAUAUGAAUGUGUCCUGUUGUAAGGUUACUACGAACGUGUUAUAUGAAGGGUACAAAAUAUCCCGUCGGAGGUAAACGGGAGUUCUUGCUUGAAGCCUCCACCGUUAGACACUGAGCGCUCAGUAGGGUGACUGGGGCUGGGGUUUCAUUAAUAGAGGGGAGUUAGGUGGUUGGUGAAACUCAAUUUGGUAAUUGCAGUCCUUUGUUUUAUGUGAGCUUUGGUUCUUUCCAUCUAAUAAUUUAGUAAUCUUACAGAGAAUAAACUGCCUAUGUGUUCAAUUUACCCUAUCCUGGUGUACAGUGGUUACCCUGCUUCUAUUAUUUAGGCUCUCUCCGGAGUAGGGGCGUCUCACCUGCUACUGCUGGGUACUUCGGUCGGGGGGUGGGGGUACGGUGUGGGUACUUAAACAUCACGCUAUCCCCAACAGUACUACACUCCAGGUUGGCACCGUGACGCUGAUAGGGAAGUCCUGGAGCCUUAGCCGAUCUGCUCACAUAGUGCAUGUAGCAGACUAGGGAGGCGAUUGGUGAGGGUACAGGGACCUAGAUCCUGCUGUACCUUCUCCGUCCGGAGGAUUGGGCAGCCUAGACCCCUACUACGCAGGCUGUGGCCCAGUCUGUUACACAUUGUUAAAAUGGUUUAAUUGAAUAUACGUGUAAAAGAUAAUCUAUGUAGAAAACGUUAACAAAAGGAUAUUAGAACUUAAAGGAAAGAAUUCAUUUAUGUUUUGGAAUAAGGAAAGGUGUUAAAGGUAACUUGCUGUCUGAGCUACUAAUGGUGAUUAUUUUCUGUACACUUUAUAGCUCUUACGGUGAGUUCACAAGGCAAGGUUAAAUAAAGGAUUGUGAACCAUCAGUUUGAGAGACCGUCAUUUCAACCGGGGACGCUACAUUCUGUACAUUGCCUAUUUUGACGCUAAUUUCUUCACUUGAUUCCACUCAUCAAGCCGGAUCUGAGGAACUUUGUUUCUAAUCUCUAGGGUAUUCCUAGGCUGUGAGAUGCCGACUUCCUGUUUUGAUGCUAAUAUGCUAGCAUGAUUGUAGUUUUUUGUACAUUGCCUGUUUUGAUGCUAGUUUUAUGUCUUUACUCAUCAUGUCUAAUCUGAGGAACUUUGUUUCUAGUGUCGACGACAUUCCUAGGCUGAGUUACGCCCACUUCCGGUUUUGAUGCUAACAUGAUUGUAGUUUU